GACAGAGGAUGCAAGCGUUAUCCGGAAUGAUUGGGCGUAAAGCGUCUGUAGGUGGCUUUUCAAGUCCGCCGUCAAAUCCCAGGGCUCAACCCUGGGCAGGCGGUGGAAACUACCAAGCUGGAGUACGGUAGGGGCAGAGGGAAUUUCCGGUGGAGCGGUGAAAUGCGUUGAUAUCGGGAGGAACACCCGAGGCGAAGGCGGCACCCUGGUCGAGGUCUGACGCUGAAGCGCGAAAGCGUGGGGAGCGAACGGG
rnacentral:rRNA from 1 species